rnacentral:rRNA from 1 species
AUUGAACGCUGGCGGCAGGCUUAACACAUGCAAGUCGAGCGGGGGAAGGUAGCUUGCUACUGGACCUAGCGGCGGACGGGUGAGUAAUGCUUAGGAAUCUGCCUAUUAGUGGGGGACAACAUCUCGAAAGGGAUGCUAAUACCGCAUACGUCCUACGGGAGAAAGCAGGGGAUCUUCGGAACUUGCGCUAAUAGAUGAGCCUAAGUCGGAUUAGCUAGUUGGUGGGGUAAAGGCCUACCAAGGCGACGAUCUGUAGCGGGUCUGAGAGGAUGAUCGGCCACACUGGGACUGAGACACGGCCCAGACUCCUACGGGAGGCAGCAGUGGGGAAUAUUGGACAAUGGGGGGAACCCUGAUCCAGCCAUGCCGCGUGUGUGAAGAAGGCCUUAUGGUUGUAAAGCACUUUAAGCGAGGAGGAGGCUACUUUAGUUAAUACCUAGAGAUAGUGGACGUUACUCGCAGAAUAAGCACCGGCUAACUCUGUGCCAGCCGCCGCAGUAA